CUGAGCUGCUCUCACCAGGGCGUGAAUGAUCACUAAACACCUGGCAAAGCCGAACGUCACGGCAGCAGCUGUCAAACCUGAAACGGCAGGACGACAUCAGACUAAAACUUUGCAAUAAUACUCAAUAGUUUGAACAUGUGCGGUGGUGGUAAACAGAAGAAUGGAGGGCUUACCUGCAUAAAUACUGAGGAAGCUGCUCGGUCCCGGUGCUCUCAGGUGGAGGCAGGAGGCUGCUGUGAGAACACUGGGAUCUGUUGCUCCUCUGGCUGUAUAAGGACAGUCGGCCUGGCUCAGCCAGUUCAGACAAUCGGUCCUGCUCCUCCUCGCUUCUCAGAAGGGACGCGAUGUCGAGGCCCGAGUGCUGCAGCUCGUUACCUCCAUGAGGACCAGAAUCUGGUCAGCUGCCCUCAGAUGCUGCAGCUGGUGGGUGACCAGGACACGACACUUGUUCUUUAACAGGCCACUGAUACACCUGAAAGACGCAAGGCUGUUUCUGCCAAGGUGUGAUCCCUCACCUUCUUCAGAGCGCAGGCUCUGACGACCUUCUCAUACUUCUGGGGGUUCAGCUCUCUCCCGAACAGGAUGUUACUGCGGAUGGUUCCAGGGAACACCCAAGGCUGCUG